AUUGAACGCUGGCGGAAUGCUUUACACAUGCAAGUCGAACGGCAGCACGGACUUCGGUCUGGUGGCGAGUGGCGAACGGGUGAGUAAUAUAUCGGAACGUAUCCAAUAAUGGGGGAUAACUAAUCGAAAGGUUGGCUAAUACCGCAUACGUCCUACGGGAGAAAGCUAGGGACCUUCGGGCCUGGCGUUAAUGGAGCGGCCGAUAUCGGAUUAGCUAGUUGGUGAGGUAAAGGCUCACCAAGGCGACGAUCCGUAGCUGGUCUGAGAGGACGACCAGCCACACUGGAACUGAGACACGGUCCAGACUCAUACGGGAGGCAGCAGUGGGGAAUUUUGGACAAUGGGCGAAAGCCUGAUCCAGCCAUUCCGCGUGAGUGAAGAAGGCCUUCGGGUUGUAAAGCUCUUUCGCAAGAGAAGAAAACUUACCCUCUAACAUAGGGUGAGGUUGACGGUAUCUUGAUAAGAAGCACCGGCUAACUACGUGCCAGCAGCCGCCGUAA
rnacentral:rRNA from 1 species